AAAAACCAUUAAUCUCGCGGCUAGACUACAGUUGGUGCGUAAGAUUUCCAUCGAUUGCUGUCAGUUCGGUGGUCAAGCUACAAUAAACGCCAUGCUUCUGCAAGAAUGUUUUUCGCACGAGUUUGACGUGGGGGUCCUGUUCUAACGGUCAAACUUCACGUGUAAUAAAAAGCUGCUCUCUUUAGCAACAGAAGAAUGCAGAUAAAUAAAGAAAAGUAUGGCUGUGUGAAGUACAGAUGUGCAGAGCGCGCGUUCAUAUGAUGGCUGAGGAGUACCCAUUACAAAUAGUAUCUUCAACAGGGGAAUACUUCCACAGCGCUGGUGUGAAUCAAGUGAAAUCGAGAAUUCUCCUGUUCUAAAAGAAGCCAAAUCCUUGUCAUCACAGGAGACCGAUAGAACUUAAUUGUGACAAUGCACUGCUCUACAAGAUGAGGCGUUGGCUGGACUGUCAACAACAUAAAGUUUAUUAUGAAAUAUUCGUCGUUGGCGAUAGCUGGAUACCUACCAGUACUCCACCAAUUCAGUCAGAUUUGGUGUUGAUGUCCUGCUAUUGUGAAUCACGGGAACCAUUUUUGCAAUAUGAUACUGGCGUAGAAGAGCAGGAAAGUAGGCUAAUAUUCGCCUCGUCAACAGGGUUGCACCUUGCAAAAAUUAGCUAUUAAUCUGGCGAUGACGCGUUUAAAAUUUGUCCA